AUUGAACGCUGGCGGCAGGCCUAACACAUGCAAGUCGAGCGGAUGAAGGGAGCUUGCGCCUGGAUUCAGCGGCGGACGGGUGAGUAAGGCCUAGGAAUCUGCCUGGCAUUGGGGGAUAACGUCCGGUAACGGGCGCUAAUACCGCAUACGUCCUGAGGUUGAAACGGGGGGAUCUUCGGACCUCACGCUAUCAGAUGAGCCUAGGUCGGAUUAGCUAGUUGGUGGGGUAAAGGCCUACCAAGGCGACGAUCCGUAACUGGUCUGAGAGGAUGAUCAGUCACACUGGAACUGAGACACGGUCCAGACUCCUACGGGAGGCAGCAGUGGGGAAUCUUCGACAAUGGGCGAAAGCCUGAUGCAGCCAUGCCGCGUGUGUGAAGAAGGUCUUCGGAUUGUAAAGCACUUUAAGUUGGGAGGAAGAGCAGUAAAUUAAUACCUUGCUGUUUUGACGUUACCAACAGAAUAAGCACCGGCUAACUUCGUG
rnacentral:rRNA from 1 species